rnacentral:rRNA from 1 species
UACGUAGGCAGCGAGCGUUGUUCGGAAUUACUGGGGCGUAAAGAGUGUGUAGGCGGUGCUCUAAGUUCGGUGUGAAAUCUCCUGCUUAACUGGGAGGGUGCGCCGGAAACUGGAGUGCUUGAGCGUGGGAGAGGAAAGCGGAAUUCCUGGUGUAGCGGUGAAAUGCGUAGAUAUCAGGAGGAACACCUGUGGUGUAGACGGCUUUCUGGACCAUUGCUGACGCUGAGACACGAAAGCGUGGGUAGCAAACAGG